rnacentral:tRNA from 1 species
GCCGGGGUGGCGAAAUUGGCAGACGCAGGAGACUUAAAAUCUCCCGGAGCAAUCCUUGUGGGUUCGAGUCCCAUCCCCGGUACCA